GACAGAGGGUGCAAGCGUUGUUCGGAAUUACUGGGCGUAAAGCGCGUGUAGGCGGCUAUGUAAGUCGGGCGUGAAAUCCCACGGCUCAACCGUGGAAGUGCACUCGAAACUGCAUAGCUAGAGUCCUGGAGAGGAAGGUGGAAUGCUUGGUGUAGAGGUGAAAUUCGUAGAUAUCAAGCGGAACACCGGUGGCGAAGGCGGCCUUCUGGACAGUGACUGACGCUGAGACGCGAAAGCGUGGGGAGCAAACAGG
rnacentral:rRNA from 1 species